AGCAGCCGCGGUAAUUCCAGCUCCAAUAGCGUAUAUUAAAGUUGUUGCAGUUAAAAAGCUCGUAGUUGAAUUUCGGGAUCAAUUUAUUGGUCGUGCUAUUGUACGUACUGGUAUUAUUGAUUCCUACCUUCUGACGAACCAUGAUGUCAUUAAUUUGGUGUCAUGGGGAAUCAGGACUGUUAACUUUGAAAAAUUAGAGUGUUUAAAGCAGGCUCACGCUUGAAUACAUUAGCAUGGAAUAACGAAAUAGGACGUUUGAUUCUAUUUUGUUGGUUUCUAGGAUCGACGUAAUGAUUAAUAGGGAUAGUUGGGGGCAUUAGUAUUCAAUUGUCAGAGGUGAAAUUCUUGGAUUUAUUGAAGACUAACUACUGCGAAAGCAUUUG
rnacentral:rRNA from 1 species